GAUGAAGAACGCAGCGAAAUGCGAUAAGUAAUGUGAAUUGCAGAAUUCAGUGAAUCAUCGAAUCUUUGAACGCACCUUGCGCCCUUUGGCUAUUCUGAAGGGCAUGCCUGUUUGAGUAUCAUGAACACCUCAACUCUCAUGGUUCGCCAUGAUGAGCUUGGACUUUGGGGGUCUUGCUGGCCUACGGUCGGCUCCUCUCAAAUGAAUCAGCUUGCCAGUGUUUGGUAGAGUCGCAGGUGUGAUAACUAUCUACGCUUGUGGUUUUCUGCCAGAUAACCUUCAGUGAUGGAGGGUCGCUGGAGCUUAUAAAUGUCUCUCCCCAGUGAGGACAGCUUUUUGAACGUUUGAUCUCAAAUCAGGUAGGACUACCCGCUGAACUUAAGCAUAUCAAUAAGCGGAGGA
rnacentral:misc_RNA from 1 species